UAGGGCGCGAGCGUUGUCCGGAUUUAUUGGGCGUAAAGAGCUCGUAGGCGGCUUGUCGCGUCGACUGUGAAAACCCGCAGCUCAACUGCGGGCUUGCAGCAGAUACGGGCAGGCUAGAGUUCGGUAGGGGAGACUGGAAUUCCUGGUGUAGCGGUGAAAUGCGCAGAUAUCAGGAGGAACACCGGUGGCGAAGGCGGGUCUCUGGGCCGAUACUGACGCUGAGGAGCGAAAGCGUGGGGAGCGAACAGG
rnacentral:rRNA from 1 species